rnacentral:lncRNA from 1 species
GGGAAGAUAUCACAACACAACUCUACAAAUAAAAUAAUUCAUACAAGCAUCAUAUUACAAGCCAGGGGCCUCGAGGGCUCGAAUACAAGAGCUCGAUCAUAGAUGAGUCAGCGGAAGCAACAAUAUCUGAGUACAGACAUAAGUUAAACAAGUUUGCCUUAAGAAGGCUAGCACAAACUGGGAUACAGAUCGAAAGAGGUGCAGGCCUCCUGCCUGGGAUCCUCCUAAACUACUCCUGGUCAUCGUCAGCGGGCUACACGUAGUAGUAGGCACCUCCCGAGUAGUAGUAGUCCUCGACGGUGGCGUCUGGCUCCUGGGCUCCAACGUCUGGUCGCAGCAAUCGGGUAUAGAAAAGGAUAAAAGAGAGCAAAGCAACCAUGAGUACUCAUCCAAAGUACUCGCAAGCAAAGAGCUACACUACAUAAGUAUGCAUUGGUAUCAAAUGGAAUAAGGGUAUCAUAUAUGGACUGAACUGCAGAAUGCCGGAAUAAGAGGGGGAUAACUAGUCCUGUCGAAGACUACGCUUCUGGUAACCUCCGUCUUGAAGCAGAAGAAGAGAGUAGAUGGUAAGUUCACCAAGUAACAUCGCAUAGCAUAAUCCUAACCGAUGAUCCUCCCCUCGUCGCCCUGUGAGAGAGCGAUCACCGGUUGUAUCUGGAACUUGGAAGGGUGUGUUUUAUUAAGUAUCCGGUUCUAGUUGUCAUAAGGUCAAGGUACAACUCUGGGUCGUCCUUUUACCGAGGGACAUGACUAUUCGAAUAGAUCAACUUCCCUGCAGGGGUGCACCACAUAACCCAACACGCUCGAUCCCAUUUGGCCGGACACACUUUCCUGGGUCAUGCCCGGCCUCGGAAGAUCAACACGUCGCAGCCCUACCUAGGCAAAACAGAGAGGUCAGCACGCCGGUCUAAAUCCUAUGGUGCAGGGGUCUGGGCCCAUCGCCCAUUGCACACCUGCACGUUGCGUACGCGGCCGGUGAGCAGACCUAGCAACCUCCAUUACAAAGGAAGUUGCGUUACGCGGUCCAACCCGGCGCGCGCCGCUCAGUCGCUGAUGUCACGAAGGCUUCGGCUGAUACCACGACGUCGAGUGCCCAUAACUGUCCCCGCGUAGAUGGCUAGUGCGUAUAGGCCAGUAGCCAGACUCAGAUCAAAUACCAAGAUCUUGUUAAACAUGUUAAGUAUCCGCCAACGCCGACCAGGGCCAGGCCCACCUCUCUGCUAGGUGGUCUCAACCUGCCCUGUCGCUCCACCACAAAGUAACAGUCGGGGGCCGUCGGGAACCCAGGCCCACCUCUACCGGGAUGGAGCCACCUGCCCCUUCAGCCCCCAACUCCGAACAGUACCACAGGUAAUGUGAUAGUGUAAAGUAUAUAGUAUAUGCCCGUGAUCACCUUCCAAAAUGAUCACGGCCCAGUAGUAUAUCAUAGAAGACGGACAAGAGUGUAGGGCCACUGAUGGAACACUAGCAUCCUAUACUAAGCAGUAGGAUAGCAGGUAAAGGUAACAACAGUAGUAGCAAGGACAGGCUAUGCAGCAGUAUAGGAUUAACUGAAAACAGUAACAAGCUACACUACUCUAAUGCAAGCAGUAUAGAGGAGAGUAGGCGAUAUCUGGUGAUCAAGGCGGGGGAGGGGGGCUUGCCUGGUUGCUCUGGCAAGAGAGAGGGGUCAUCAACACCGUAGUCGUACUGGGGGUCUCCGGCAGUCUCGGGGUCUACCGGAAAGAAGUAACGAAGGGGGAACACAAUAAAUAACAGAGCAAUCAAUGUAACAAAAAGCAAGAUGCGGCAUUACGUUGUGCUAGGGGUGACCUGACGCGGUACGAGGUGAUACCGGUGAAGGGGGAAAACAUCCGGAAAAAUACCACCGGUGUUUCGCGUUUUUGGACAAAUGAACCGGAGGGGGAAAAUUGUGUGUUCGGUAUGCUAGGGAUGCGUGGCGGACGAACGGGCUGCGAAACCGGAUUCGUCUCGUCGUUUUGAGCAACUUUCAUGUACAAAGUUUUUCCCUCUGACUUACGGUUUAUUUUCUAUUAAUAUUUCAAGUUUUAAAUCCUUUUCUAAAAUUCUGGAAUUUAUUUAAUUUCAAAUAAAUUAAAAGAAAAAAAAGCUAGGUGCACCCGGUCCAGUGCACCCAACGCUGUACCGGAGGCUGACAGUGGGCCAGGGUCAAAGUCAACAACCCAGUCAGCGUCGACUGGUCAAAGGUGAACAAUGUAAAUGGGUCCUACAUGUCAUGGAGUCAUCUAAAUAGUAGAUUGAUUUAAUCUUCUAUUUUAGCAAUGGGGCCCGCAUGUAAUAGACACAUGAUAUACCAAAGAGUGUGUGUUUUUAAGAGUGAGUGGUUUUAGGCUAAGUUAAUUAGGCCUACUCUAAUUAACCGGGGACAGAGCCCACGUAGCAGUGGCCAUUAGGCCUAAACUUGCCAACCGGCCAGAGGCACGGCGGCAAGGCCCGGAUGUGCUCGUGCGCACGCAGGCACACGGGCGCGCAGCGGCCGAGUGCGAGGCUUGCCAGGGGCGGGUGGGCGUAGCGCGGCGCAUGCGAGAGCGGCCCAGCCAGCCAGUGCGUGCGACAGGAGGAGGAGCAGUGACGCAGUAGGCAGCGGCGGAGCAGCAGCAGUUGCCAAGUAGCAGCGGAGCCAGAGCAGCGGCGGCAGGCACAGGGAGGUGGAAGCACGACAGCAGCAAGGAGCAGCAGCGCGGCACACACGUACUCGUACGCGUACUAGGGAGCUCGGGUGUGCUCAGGGCCGGAAAACAGAGAACAGAUCGAGGCGGAGGAAGAGGGAUCCAGAGGAGUUGCUCACCGAGAGCGUGACGGCGAGGUUGGGGAGACAGGGGACGGCUCGGAGCAGCGGUAAUGGUGACGCGAGAUGCGAUGACCGAGACAGAGGAAGACGAUGCAAGCGUUGAGGAGGGGCAUCCCGGCUUGAGUUGGUCCCCUGAACGGACGAAGACGGCUGCAGCAGACCUCCUGGACGUGUUCCCGCACACCGGAGAGGUCGGUGGCCGUGACAACGAAGGCGAGGUAGUGGUCACCGCACACACUUCUGAGGUGGAAUUCGCGUAGUAGAGGAAGGGGCCGAAGGGGGAACGAGAGGGAAUGGAAGAGGGUUGUCCAGGGUUUCCGGGGAACAUAGAUAUAGCAUCAGGGGGGCGACGUGGUGGCCAUCCAUGGGCAUGGCGCCCUGGAUGUUCGCCACGACCUCUCUGCCUCCUGUAGCGGGAGGUAGAAGGAGGCCUGUGUGGGCUGGGCCGUGUUACUGCAGCCACUUAUGGCCCAUUAGUACACUAGGUCUUUAGCAUUUUCUUACUUUUUUUAAAAAAAUGCCACUGUUUUCUAAUUGAAAGAGUGUCCAAACAUUUUUUUGCUAAAUACUAAACUUGGUACAUAAAUUAUUUGGAAUAUUCUGAGGUUGCUCAAAAAGUUUGAGGCCAACUGGAAAAGUUUGUAAUUGCGUUUGCAUUUAAUUGGACCACUUUAAAUGAUGUUGGUACAUUCUAAAAUUAGUUAGGGGCAUUUUAGAAACUCUCUCAAGUGGGGUUUCUUCAUGAAAAAUAUCAGUGGAUUAUUUGAAAUAUUAUGAACACUUUUGUUUUGCAGUUUGAAUAAAUGAUUUAUUUGACUUUACUUUAAAAUUUGAAUUUGAACUCAGUUUGGACCAAGGUGCGGUUUAGCAAAUUAAUUGUGACGGCAUGGCACCAUUUGUGUGUGAUUACUGUAGCUUAACUCCUGGGGUGUUACAAAUCUCCUCCACUACAAGAAAUCUCGUCCUGAGAUUCAAGAGGUGGAGUCAGGGGGGAAGAUUCGGGUUAUGAAAUUCUAGCGACUGUCCUCGGUCUUUGUUGUUCUUCUCGAAGAGGUCGAUCCAUUAUGUUGAUGUCUUCAUUUCUAUGCUUCGAUUCAUCAUGAUGAAGUCGGCAUCCUUUCUUCAGGAACUCCAUCAUAGUUACGAAAGAAUAAGGGGGGGGGGGGUCGGGAGAACGGGCCUCUGCAUGGUUAACUAUCUGGUAGAUAACAUUGGGGAAGGUGGUGGAAGGUAACUCUCGAACUGAAACUUAAUAAGAUAUCGAGAGCAAGGUAAGAAGGUACCAUGAGAAGUUUUGAGCGGGUAGGCAAUCGUUCGAUGCCUGAAACAACGUGUGAAAGGGGUCUAGAGCAACGAGAAUCCAUAUUGCGUCCGAUACAAGAAUAGGUCACUAGGCAGGUGGCCCAUGAAUUACAUACGAAGUCAAGCUCGAGGAAUAACUUUGGCAACAGGGUGUACAGGAGAGUCGGAUUUCGAUCCUACGGGACUUGUGGGUUAUGGGCCCACCAUGUGGGUUAAAGUAGGAAGGGCGGUGACAUCUUGCACGGUCAUGACAGCAAGGCAUGUCAGAGGGUAGCAUGUUAGUUAUAUGUCAGCAACAACGUUGGUACCAAGGGCGAGGGACGAAGAGAACCAUUUUCCUGCUCGUUGAACGAGGCAGACCAAUAGGCAAAGUUCUCGUCCAUCGGUGGCUACCGGAAUGUCAUCAACAAUAGUAACAGGGUCUUGCUGACAGAAUUAUACAACGAGGUGUUUACAUAAGCAGGAGAAUAUUACUGCUUAGAUCAUAUAGAUCACAAGAAAGGUUAAACCAAACAAUGGAAAGGAAUAUAUGAUUAUCAGAUUAAACAGAACAAUGGAAAGAAAAAUGUGUUAAAACACAUAUUCCAGGGGUAUAUCCUUCCCACGGACAAGCAGGGCAUGAUAUCCAUGACAGGAUAUAAAGUAGAAAACUCUUUAGGUAAGGGGGGAGAACUUCAUGACAUUACCCAUACAACGGUGUUUGGAUAAUUGAUAAACAAAAUUGAGCAUUGUGCUUCAAAUGUUCUUAUUGAAAAUCGGAGUACCACAGACAUGCUUCAAGAUAGCAUUGACAUGGUCUUCAAGCAAAGGUUGGACUUUGGAUACGCAAAGGAUCAAUCAGGAACAACUUAUAGAGUAAGUCUUACAAUUUCCUCAUGGUAGAAUCGCUAAGCUUGCUAUAAAGGAAACUAUAACAAGACGUCCUCCGCCCAGGUGUGCUAGGCAUAACAUCACCUUAUCGGGUCAAAGACCAAUGUUAUAACACUUGGGAAUAUGUUCCAACCAUCAUAUCUGACCGAGAUUCAGAUCUGAUUGGUGUCAGGAUAACUCAGACUCGGGAUGCGUGAGAAGAAAGGUGCAACACAAUUUGUCGAGAUGACAAUGUAAGAUUCUCCGGAAUUGAACUAUGGAAGCGAGUUCCAAAACAAGAACUCAUCAUUAAAUGAAGGAGAGGUGAGGAGGUGGCUGAUUGACUCAGCGACAAUUCAUUGAGAUUUUCAAAAGAUGGAUUUCCACACUUAUGUGAACAAGGGAAUAACAUUUGUCGGAUCAAAUGACAUAAUGAUGUAUGCUAAAAAACAUACACAAUUAAACAUUGGCUGAAAGGUGCACCCGAAAUAUGGGCUUAGGUAGCAUGAUCAAUGUUAGAAUGGUGAUUCGAUAACCAAUGGUCUAAGAAUAAAAUAUCGACCAUUAUCUUCAAAGUAAUAGGGUUGCUAGAAGUUUUGAAGUCGCACAUCACAGUUCAAUUGUCGGUUUUCCGGUUCGAAACAACAUGGGGACCAAGGAAUGAACGGAUAUGGCAAGAAGUAUCACCUGUAUCAAGAUCUCUUAAAGAGGUGGUGAAAUUCUCACGACUUUCUUGUCAUAAAAGAUGGUAAUACUUCCAAGGUAAAGAAGAACAAAUGCUAGGUAGCAAGGAUCUCAAGGUAUAACACAAAACACGAACAAGUUUGUGUUGAACGGAAGGCAAUAAAGUGGUCGAUGAUAACAAAAAUCAUCGAGGGGCAAGGAUGGUAUUUCUCAUCAUGAAUUCAAUUGAUAUCCUUGAGAAGCUCGGAGUGUUGGUGAUGAUCAUGACACAUUUGUCGAGAGGUUUCAUGAAGAUAUAAUCGCUCACCUACGACAUCAAGCAAAAGGAAGGAUGGAGCGAAAAGUUAUUGAAACCACGGAUACAACACAAACUCGGAAUCAAGUUUGCUGUUCGAGGUAAACGAUAAGACGAGGAAAUCGACAUAAGCUUAGCUCAUCGUCGAAAGUUGUGCUCCAGAAGUAAGGAAUAGGUAGCACAGUUAAAAUUGGCAUGAUAAUGAUAUAGCCGAGCAGGCCAGGAAUGACAUGGUUGAAUACAAACUCGUGAGUAAAGGAGAUUACUAAGAGUUGUUUAAUCAUGGUGCGGACCCGAUUUAGUUAUCGGUGUCCUCGAGUGACUAACAACUCGGAACCAGGAAAAAUUGGAAUCGGUGAGGAAUAAUACUUGAUGAAGGCUCAUAAUAAGCAACAUGGUUUGGUGAUAUAAUCGAGAUACCAGAGGGUAAUACUCAAAGGUAGAGCAAAAUAGAGGGUUGACAAGUGUAUUGAUCUGCAAAAGACAAGUACUUUAACUAGUCUGAGAAAUGGUAUUAAGGAGAAAAAAUGGUCGGUACCAUGAUUGCAAAGGACCAAACAUAGAUACAGGACGAACUUAUAACAAGGGGAUUAUUAUCAUUUACAAGAAGCUUCGAUGAAAAGUUCCACAUCGGUUCCAUGGGAUGAACACAAAGGCUCAAGGUCGACUCCCACUUCUUCAAUGCAUAACCUUUCAUUUUACUUCUCGCUUUUGAUGAGGUUGUAGUGUAGAAUUUUUAUCUGGCGAAACAACAGAAGAGUAUGACUCGCAAAAACUUUUGGGUUCAUACCGUUUGGGGAUGGCAUAGGUUCAACCCAUCGGGGCAUCGUAUAUACCAGAAAUUUCAAGAAUAAAUAACACAAGCUCGAUAGUAGAGCAUGCUUGAGAAAGCAGAGGAUACAAUUUACCAAAGGCAUUAUGUAUCCGAGGAAAGGCUCACAGGCUUAUUGAAUAUGAAGGACGAUGUCGGAUAAAAUCCAACAAAGGAUCUGACGGUCCAUAACAGAGCUGAUGUGAGCAUCGGCACAUAAUCAGAAGAAGAAACAAUGCAAGGAGAUCAGAUUAUGGAAACAACUGACUAACUCGAAGCUCAAAUGCAAAGGAAUUAUGAAUUCCAAGACAAGGGAUCAGAAGCAAUGCUCUGAUUAGGGAUGGAUAAGUUGAAUAGCCUUAGAGGUAUAAUCGAUGGCAAUUUGAUUGGUUGGGAUCCAGCUCAUGUCCGGAAUGACGUUUGAAUCGGAAGGAUAAAUUCCAGGGAACAACCGAUGAUUGUGUGCAUUCACACACAUGUUGAAUCAAAAGGAUCAGAAUGACAAUCACCAAGGUUUUUAAAGUAAAUUGCUAGACCAAUGGAAUUAACCGGAAUGCAAGUAUGCAAGAUUUCCCAGAACAACAGGUUGUUGAAGAUUUUCGAAAGAUCAAAUAGUAUUUCGAAGUCUUUUGCGGAAUACAUGUAUCCACUGGGGAUGAGCGGAUACUUGAUAAGUGCGAGAAAGUAUUCGUAGGGGUCUUCAGGUUGCAAAGAAUUGCAAGGGCAGUGGGCACAAAAUAUUCUCGGAACAAUAGAGAGGAUUUCAGGGUAUCUUGUAAUAACAAGAUCAAUGGGGGAUGCUUGUAUGAAUGGCAAGUGUACAUCGCUAUCCAUAGGGGUCUAUCGAUGAAAGGGAAUUGCAAAAGCGAUGGCACAAAGUUGCAAGAGAACAUCGUAGAGUAUCUUCGGAACCUUCUGGUGCAGCAGGCGAUCAUCUGUAAUAAGGGGCUCUCCGAAAGGAAGUAGUUACGAGAACCUAGAGUCAGAGUUAGUAAAAUCAUUUAACCCGAAUAGAAGAGAGAUUCAGAGUCCUAGAGUAUAGACGAGGAAUAAAUGAUCCUAAUACCACCCAAUGGAGACGUGGGUCCAUGGGCCGCACAACCAUGUUAGUAAAACAGUUUUUAUCGACUAGACUCAACUUCGGCCAAGGAGUUGGAAGAGAGAUUCCUACAGGCAGUCGGCUCUGAUACCAACUUCUGACGCCCCCGAUUUGAUCGUACACUAAUCAUACACGCAAACGUGUACGAUCAAGAUCAAGGACUCACGGGAAGAUAACACAACACAACUCUACAAAUAAAAUAAGUCAUACAAGCAUCAUAUUACAAGCCAGGGGCCUCGAGGGCUCGAAUACAAGAGCUCGAUCAUAGACGAGUUAGCGGAAGCAACAAUAUCUGAGUACAGACAUAAGUUAAACAAGUUUUCCUUAAGAAGGCUAGCACAAACUGGGAUACAUAUCGAAAGAGGUGCAGGCCUCCUGCCUGGGAUCCUCCUAAACUACUCCUG